GACGAACCGUCCAAACGUUAUUCGGAAUCACUGGGCUUACAGAGUUCGUAGGCGGUCUGGAAAGUUGGGUGUGAAAUCCCUCGGCCUAACCGAGGAACUGCGCUUGAAACUACCAGACUCGAGGGGGGGAUAGAGGAAAGCGGAACUGAUGGUGGAGCGGUGAAAUGACGUUGAUAUCAUCAAGGAACACCGGUGGCGAAGGCGGCUUCUGGGUCGUUA
rnacentral:rRNA from 1 species